rnacentral:rRNA from 1 species
GACGAACGCUGGCGGCGUGCUUAACACAUGCAAGUCGAACGAAGAGCGAUGGAAUCUUGCUUCUAUCACUCUUAGUGGCGAACGGGUGAGUAACGCGUAAUCAACCUGCCCUUCAGAGGGGGACAACAGUUGGAAACGACUGCUAAUACCGCAUACGAUCUGACCUCGGCAUCGAGGAUAGAUGAAAGGUGGCCUCUAUUUAUAAGCUAUCACUGAAGGAGGGGAUUGCGUCUGAUUAGCUAGUUGGAGGGGUAACGGCCCACCAAGGCGAUGAUCAGUAGCCGGUCUGAGAGGAUGAACGGCCACAUUGGGACUGAGACACGGCCCAGACUCCUACGGGAGGCAGCAGUGGGGAAUCUUCCGCAAUGGACGAAAGUCUGACGGAGCAACGCCGCGUGAGUGAUGACGGCCUUCGGGUUGUAAAGCUCUGUUAAUCGGGACGAAAGGCCUUCUUGCGAAUAGUUAGAAGGAUUGACGGUACCGGAAUAGAAAGCCACGGCUAACUACGUG